CUCGCCGCCUCUUUGUCUGCUCCGGGACUUGGAACAAAAGGGGGAAACUCUGAUGAACUCUCUUUCUUCCCCUCUCCCCCGGACGCGCGGGGUAUCUCCCUCUCGCAACUUUGCCGCCGCGACUUUCUCCGCUGUCAGGCCACACAGAAGUGUCCGAGCGCCGCGAGGACCGCGACCAGGGAGACGUCUCUCGGAGGUGCGACCAAGUGGGGAAGAAGGUGUGAUUACUAUUGUCAGCAUCUAGAAAGCAUCAUGAGUGCACUGACUCCUUCGUACUGCAUUGUUCUUACUGGAUCUUUCCAUCAGUGAAUAUUAUGAAAGUACCAAUACGACAUCAAGUCAUUCCUGAAUGAAAACUUACCAAACUUUUUUCUUUGGAGUUGCUUAAAAGUUGUUGGGAUUUUUGAUGAUGCCUUCCCCAUGUGGAUUACUACAAUUUGAUCACUGGGAAUUCUCCACCUUAAAGAAGAUGAUUUUGCUCUCUGGAGACUUAUGCCCAUGCCUUUGACUGCGGGUCAAAAUUGCUUUCCUCACCGUCUGUUUGGGAGAGUUGUUAAACACUGGAAUGUCCUUCUGAGGUGGUCUGUGGAAUGACAUUACUCUCAGGUGACUACAGAAGUGUCAGCGCCCACCAUGGUCAGGAGCUGUGGAAUCCAAUGUGGCUGCCAGGUGGAAUCCAGAAAAGCCAAAGAGCCCGAGCAUGCCAGACCUUCCUGUAGCCACACACACACGUCAAACCCCAGGG